rnacentral:rRNA from 1 species
GACGAACGCUGGCGGCGUGCCUAAUACAUGCAAGUAGGACGCAGUUGCGAACGGGUGAGUAACGCGUAGGUAACUACCUAUUAGAGGGGGAUAACUAUUGGAAACGCUAGCUAAUACCGCAUACUAGUAGAUGGACCUGCGUUGUAUUAGCUAGUAGGUAGGGUAAUGGCCUACCUAGGGAACGAUACAUAGCCGACCUGGUAGGGGUAUCGGCCAAACUUGGAAUGGGACACGGCCCAGACUCCUACGGGAGGCAACAGUAGGGAAACUUCGGCCAUGGGGGGAACCCUGACCGGGCAACGCCGCGGGAGGGAAGAAGGUUUUCGGAACGUAAAGCUCUGUUGUUAAGGAAGCGGUACUUAACCAGAAAGGGACGGCUAACUACGUGCCAGCCGCCGCGGUAAUUC